UGCAUCACUCAAUAAAACUUUUCAUUCAUGACAACACGUGGUCCCACAAUAAAGUGCACAGGUGAAUUAAAUAAAACAAUUAUAAAAUUCGUGUCUUCAUGUCAGAUCAUAGCUAAAAAAUGUAAUUAUAAGUAAUGAAUGCUUCUUUUGCAACUUCAUAGCGUUGUAAAAGCGUUGACCGUGUGCACAUUUUUAGUAUGAAGCGAUUCUGCGCUUCAUACAAAAUGUACUUCGGUCAACGCUUUUACACCCCAAUGAAGUCCCAAAAAGAAGCAUUCAAUUCUUAAGUAUUCCCACUUUUAGAAACAUGAAGAGUUUCUUUUAUGGAUGAAAUGCAUGAACAACAUUAAAAGUAAAAGCAACCAAAAGCUAUGAUAUCAAUGGAUAUAAAACUUUACCCUAUCCAGAAUUGAUGACUUAUUCAUAUUUCUUAUGUCCAUAAAAAGUUGGUUGUUUUGUUGGAAGUUUCUUUUUGUUUUUAAAUAUUAUCAUUUUCAUAAACACUAUUUUUAUAUUCAAUUUCAACCCUUACUAUAAAAUAAGAAAUGUAACUCAAGCUUGAUCUGUUAUUUAUAAGGUAUGGUAUAUAAGAACAUUAACUUUGCACUUUAUGGAAUACAAUACAUAAAUGUGG
rnacentral:lncRNA from 1 species